rnacentral:rRNA from 1 species
AUUGAACGAUAGCGGGAUGCCUUACACAUGCAAGUCGAACGGAGUGGCGACCGGGUGAGUAAUGUAUCGGAACGUGCCCAGUAGCGGGGGAUCACUACGCGAAAGCGUAGCUAAUACCGCCUACUAUUGGAUCGGCCGAUAUCGGAUUAGCUAGUUGGUGGGGUAACGGCUAACCAAGGCGACGAUCCGUAGCUGGUUGGAGAGGACGACCAGCCACACUGGUACUGAGACACUGCCCAGACUCCUACGGGAGGAAGCAGUGGGGAAUGUUGGACAAUGGGGGACACCCUGAUGCAGCCAUCCGGCUUGUGCGAUGAAGGCCUUAGGGUUGUAAAGCACUUUUGGCAGGAAAGCGGUACCUGCAGAAUAAGCACCGGCUAACUACGUGCCAGCAGCCGCGGUAAUAC